GUCUACAGCCAUGCUACAUGCCCGAUCCUGUCUGAUCUGGAAGCUAAGCAGGGUUGGGCCUGGUUAGUACUUAGAUGGGAGACCACCUAGGCAGACCAGAUAAUAUAGGUG
rnacentral:rRNA from 1 species